UAGUUUUCCUCUUCUCAGGAA
rnacentral:tRNA from 1 species